UAACCCUUCAGGAAUCAAGCCAUUGAAACCCAGAUGCGGAAUGACUUGUCUCAGGGCACAAACCUGUGUUCGAGCAAUCCCUGAGACUUCCAGUAUGUCCCUUUAAGAGGAAGGUUUGUCCUUGGCAACUGGUACUCAGAUAGGGCUCUGGGGAAGCCCUAGGGGAAAAAAAAGGAACAAGACUGGGGGAGGGGAAGACUGGCCAGUGGGUGACUUUGAUAACCAGAGCAAGGCAGGACUAUAGGCCAAGGAUCUGUAACUUCAGCUUGACGAGAUGGGAUCUUUUGGGUCAAGAUACAAGACUUAGGGUCCACGCUGGUGGCUCUACUCAGCACAGGACUGGCCUGUGCAUGACUCUGGUUUAAGGAAAGCCACAGCCAAUGGCUGUGGAAGGCUUAUCUUAGUAACCUGAAGUUUACCGAGCAUGCAAUCUGUGCCAAGCACUGUGUACCCUACAAGAAACCAGCACACUGGAAAGACUCCACACCUCAGCGAUGACAUCUGAGAAUAUGGCCCAGAUUCAAAGGCGGCUUUGCCACCUACCACCUGGAUGUUUCUCUGCCUUUGUUUCCUCUUGUGUAAUGGGUCCAAUCCCCACCCUUGGGCUGUUGGGAAAGAAUUGCCACAGGUCUGGCCUGCUGGAUUUUGCAUACAGCCAGCUAGGCUGCACAGCUGGGAAUACCAGGGAAGUCUCCAGAAAGUUGACCAGCAACCACAGUGCUUGUUCAGCGCCAGAGAUAAAACUAGAGGCAAACACUUGCUGCUUCAUGAGGUCAGAUGCCCCUCACAGGAGCACUGUCCCUGGAGUCCAGCUGUGGCUUG
ensembl:lncRNA